UAGGAAUCGUUAGUAAUCGUGAAUCAGAACGUUACGGUGAAUAGACUUAGGGUCGUGUACACACCGCCCGUCACGUCAGGGGAGUAAAAUUGGCCUGAACAUUCAAUACUAUUUUUUUAAGGAAAAUUUUAUAUUCUUAAUACUAUAAAGGUUUUAAGUGGUAUAUUUAAAUUUUCAACUUGAAUUUUUAGUUUGGUGGAGGGACGAUUUUGUGACCGUGAUGAAGUCGUAACAAGGUAAUCGUA
rnacentral:rRNA from 1 species